rnacentral:rRNA from 1 species
UACGUAGGGCGCAAGCGUUGUCCGGAAUUAUUGGGCGUAAAGAGCUCGUAGGCGGCCAGUUGCGCCUGCUGUGAAAUCCCGGGGCUCAACCCCGGGCGUGCAGUGGAUACGGGCUGGCUAGAGGCAGGCAGGGGAGAACGGAAUUCCCGGUGUAGCGGUGAAAUGCGCAGAUAUCGGGAGGAACACCGGUGGCGAAGGCGGUUCUCUGGGCCUGUACUGACGCUGAGGAGCGAAAGCGUGGGGAGCGAACAGG